rnacentral:rRNA from 1 species
GAAUAUUGGACAAUGGGGGCAACCCUGAUCCAGCAAUGCCGCGUGAGUGAUGAAGGCCUUCGGGUUGUAAAGCUCUUUUGCCAGGGACGAUGAUGACGGUACCUGGAGAAUAAGCCCCGGCUAACUUAGUGCCAGCAGCCGCGGUCAUACGGAGGGGACUAGCGUUGUUCGGAAUUACUGGGCGUAAAGCGCACGUAGGCGGAUUCGUAAGUCAGGGGUGAAAUCCCGAGGCUCAACCUCGGAACUGCCUUUGAUACUGCGAAUCUCGAGUCCGGAAGAGGUGAGUGGAAUUCCUAGUGUAGAGGUGAAAUUCGUAGAUAUUAGGAAGAACACCAGUGGCGAAGGCGGCUCACUGGUCCGGUACUGACGCUGAGGUGCGAAAGCGUGGGGAGCAAACAGG